AGGAAUCUCAGAAAACCCUUCUGAAACAUUGAGCCAAGCAGAACCAGAGGUGAAUCUUACCCACCUAGUGGUGGUCCUGCCAGCUAAAUGGGAAACCAGUGUGUCGAGUGGAUGAACCAAGAGGCACAGAGCAGACAACAAACAAUAAUAGCAAACUUUGCAAAAGAAGCAAAAAGAUGCAGUUACCAGUUAUGAAGUUAUCGUUUGAGAAGUACAUUGUCAGGAUUAAUUCACUAAUAUACAUGAGGACUUUCAGAUCAUUGCACAGAAGCUGCUCUACAAAGGAAGCAUGUAAUUUGUUUUCUCACAUCAGAAGCCCAUUAUUACUACAGCAAAUAAGGAACAUUUUGAAUGUCAGGAAAGAACAGAAGUUAAAAGUAAACAAAAUUCUGCAUUAAAUCACAUCUGACAGAAAAAAAGCAGGCCUUCCUGAUGCACAACAGCAUUUCAGUCCCUCCUAGAUUAAAGAAUACGUACUCUUCAACCACAUUUUCAUUAAUGAUUACCUGAGAUGUUUGUAAUACAAGGGACAGUAAGCACAGGACUAUUCAUCACUCUCCUCUCCAAAGUGGCCAUUCAAGACACCAGGAGAAACAAGCACAGUUGAACGGACCCUGUCAACUCUAUCAUCUGCUUCCAGUCCCCCACCUUCUCAUGUCAGCUGGUAGAGAUCUUGUGAGCAGUACCCACUGCUUGCCCAAGCACAUUCCAGCAGUGAUGGAUGGUGAGAGAUAUUUUUUGAGAACUGGCCUCACAAUGUUCCAAACAAGGAGAGAAUGUGGAGAUGAGCUCUACAUUUGUCAGGGGCCUUAUGCCUCUGAUUUGGAUCAACAGUGUAGCAAAAUGUUUGUUCUCCAAAGGAAGCGGAGGUCACCUCUGCCAUAUGGGUCAUAACAACCCGAAGCAGCCCUAUAGGCUUGGGGAAGAGUGGUUGGAAAGACACCUGGCAGAAAAGGACCUGGGGGUGUCAGCUGACAGCCAGCAGCGUGCCCAAGUGGUUGAGAAGACCGAUGGAAUACUGGCCUGCAUCAGAAAUGGUGUGGCCAGAGGAAUCAGUGAAGGGAUCAUCCCUUCGUAUGUGGCACUCAAAGUGUUGCCUAGGGAGGUGGUGGAAUCACCACGCAUGGAAAUAUUUAAGAGACAUGUGAAUGUGAUGCUAAGUGAAAUGGUUCAGUAAUGGAUUUGGCAGUGUCAGGUCAAUGGUUCAACUCGAUGACCUUAAGGUAAUCACUCCAACCUAAAUGAUUCUAUAAUUCUAUGAUUCUAUAUCUUAUGAUAGCCCCAUAAUGUGGAGAUGUCAAUUAUGGCCAAAGCAGCUGUGUUGGUAAACAGCUGUGUGUAAGCAAAUCAGAGCCCCUUAUUACCAUAGUAUGCCUUAUUUUGUCAGAUAAAGGUGGGAAGCUCUAUUUGUCAGAGAGUACCUUGCCUGUUUGGAUUGCUGGUAUAUCUACUCUAUGAUUCUACGCUAUCAGUGAAAAUAUUUCAGGUCCAACAGGCUGACUCUGCAACUCUGCAACCAAAGUCUUACUGACAACUAAAUAACAUGCUGGGGAAGUUUCUUUAACUCUACUAAUUCUAUUGCAAACUUAUCUGAGUCAUUUAGAGGAUGAUGCAUGUCUGAUUAUUUUUGCUAUUCUGGUGUGAGUCUGGAUACUACCUGUACUACGUGCUUCAGUAUUUGAGAAUUAGUCUUACAAAUUUCCAUUCUCAACAGCUUUUGAUAAUUCAGAAUUGUAAAUGAACUAGAUUUUUUGAAAAACUCUUUCUGAAUGAAACAAUACAAAAAUACAAUACCUCAGAAAUGAUGAAAUGCAUCCUUUUGAGGUUAUGACAUUUGUUUCCUGUAGGCAAUGAAAUUUUAGCACUUGCAGUCCUCUGAGUGUAGUUUCUAUCCAAUGCACGUACUGCAGAGAACAGAACUAUUUCAGGUUAUUAUAUGCUAUCUCUUUUGUGCUUAGGAAAACCUUUUGGAAAGAGUAACAGUGAGGUCCGGCAGUCAUACACUUAAUCAGUCUAUACCUUAAUAUCUUAUUUCCAAUAGAGGUUAAUGUCAAUUUGAUUUACAUUACAGCAGGAAAUCCUGCAGUAGAAAAUAAUGGAGUAUACUGUCAUAUGAAAACUCUCUUAUUAUCACGUAGCUUCUUAAAAGCAGCAUAUUCCCUGAAAUACGAAGUUUAUGCGUCGUGUUAGAUAUUCUGGUUUCUACUUGUGUUACCUGAUGUUCUUGUUACCCUCACAAACUUCCUGUUUCUGGAAGGAAUGACGUCCUUUGGAAAUGAGUUGACACACUGUGCAUUUACACAGCUGAAAAAUACCUGUUUCCUUUUGCCAGUUAUAAAUGUGUUAUCUUUAGAUUAAAUGAAUGUUUACUUGUUU
ensembl:lncRNA